rnacentral:rRNA from 1 species
AAUCUGGACCUUUUAGGGUCCGAGUUGUAAUUUACAGAGGGCGCUUUGGCAUUGGCAGCGGUACAAGUUCCUUGGAACAGGACGUCACAGAGGGUGAGAAUCCCGUACGUGGUCGCUAGCCUUUGCUGUGUAAAGCCCCUUCGACGAGUCGAGUUUUUUGGGAAUGCAGCUCUAAAUGGGAGGUAAAUUUCUUCUAAAGCUAAAUAUUGGCCAGAGACCGAUAGCGCACAAGUAGAGUGAUCGAAAGAUGAAAAGCACUUUGGAAAGAGAGUCAAAUAGCACGUGAAAUUGUUGAAAGGGAAGCGCUUGCAGCCAGACUUGCCUGUAGUUGCUUAUCUGGGCUUUUGCCUAGUGCACUCUUCUGCGGGCAGGCCAGCAUCAGUUUGGGCGGUUGGAUAAAGGUCUCUGUCAUGUACCUCCAUUCGGGGAGGACUUAUAGGGGAGGCGACAUGCAACCAUCUUAAAAAACGGAGGUCCGCGCAUCUGAUAGGAUGCAUGGCGGUUAAUGGGCCUGGUAAAAGGACCGA